rnacentral:rRNA from 1 species
UGGUGGAGUGAUUUGUCUGGUUAAUUCCGUUAACGAACGAGACCUUAACCUAUUAAAUAGUCACGCGAAUUCAGAUUCGCGGGUGACUUCUUAGAGGGACUAUUGGAAUUUAAUCCAAUGGAAGUUUGAGGCAAUAACA